rnacentral:rRNA from 1 species
CAGUAGCCGCGGUAAAACGAAGGGGGCUAGCGUUGUUCGGAAUUACUGGGCGUAAAGGGCGCGUAGGCGGCCAUUCAAGUUAGAUGUGAAAGCCCUGGGCUCAACCUAGGAAUUGCAUUUGGUACUGUUUGGCUUGAGUUCGGGAGAGGUGAGUGGAAUCCCCAGUGUAGAGGUGAAAUUCGUAGAUAUUGGGAAGGACACCAGUGGCGAAGGCGGCCCACUGGACCGACACUGACGCUGAGGCGCGAAAGCGUGGGGAGCAAACAGGAUUAGAUACCCCCGUAGUCCCUGUCUCUUAUAA